GACGAACGCUGGCGGCGUGCUUUACACAUGCAAGUCGAACGGUGAAGGUGGAGCUUGCUCCGCCGGAUCAGUGGCGAACGGGUGAGUAACACGUGGGCAACCUGCCCCUAACUUUGGGAUAACUACUCGAAAGAGUAGCUAAUACCGGAUAUGAAGUCUGUAGGCAUCUAUGGAUUUGGAAAGUUUUUCGGUUAGGGAUGGGCCCGCGGCCUAUCAGCUUGUUGGUGAGGUAGUGGCUCACCAAGGCGACGACGGGUAGCCGGCCUGAGAGGGCAACCGGCCACACUGGGACUGAGACACGGCCCAGACUCCUACGGGAGGCAGCAGUGGGGAAUAUUGCGCAAUGGGCGAAAGCCUGACGCAGCAACGCCGCGUGCGGGAUGAAGGUCUUCGGGUUGUAAACCGCUUUCAGCAGGGAAGAAGCGAAAGUGACGGUACCUGCAGAAGAAGCACCGGCUAACUACGUGCCAGCCGCCGCAGUAA
rnacentral:rRNA from 1 species